rnacentral:rRNA from 1 species
GUCCUUUAGAAUAUAAUUAAAGGUCUAACCUGCUCACUGAUUUAUUAAAGAGCUGCAGUAUUUUGACUGUACAAAGGUAGCAUAAUCAUUAGUUUUUUAAUUGAAAGCUAGAAUGAAUGGUUGGACGAGAUAAAAUCUGUCUUUUUUUAAUAAAUAGAAUUUAAUUUUUAAGUUAAAAAGCUUAAAUUUUUAUAAAAGACGAGAAGACCCUAUAGAUCUUUAUAUUAAUUUAAAUUAUUUUAAUUUAUAUAUUUAUUUUUAAUUAAAAUUAAUAUUUUAUUGGGGUAAUAAAAAGAUUUAAAUAAUUCUUUUUUAAAUUUAACAUAUUUUUAUGAAAAAUUGAUCCAGUAUUAUUGAUUAAAAGAUUAAGUUACCUUAGGGAUAACAGCGUACUUUUUUUAGAGAGUUCAUAUCGCUAAAAAAGUUUGCGCCCUCGAUGUUGGAUUAAAAUUUAUCUUAGGUGUAGAAGUUUAAGAUUUUAGUCCGUUCGACUAUUAAAUUUUACA